AUAUUCUGGUUUCUCUCCAGGCUGUACAGAUCUUUUGCCUUUUAAGAAAGGUUUCCAUGGAAAAGACCCUUCCUUCACUUGUACCUUAUUUUGUGUUUUCUUUAUAUCACAUAGAAU
ensembl:snRNA U5 U5 spliceosomal RNA